rnacentral:rRNA from 1 species
UACCCCACUAUGCUUAGUCAUAAACACGACACCACUUAACAACAGUGUCCGCCAGAGAAUUACGAGCGAAAAGCUUAAAACUCAAAGGACUUGGCGGUGCUCCAUACCAACUUAGAGGAGCCUGUCCUAUAACCGAUACUCCACGCUAAACCUUACCAUCUUUUGCCCCCAGCCUAUAUACCGCCGUCGCAAAUUCACCCCACAAGGGCCCAACAGUAAGUACAACUGCCUCCCCAAAAACGUCAGGUCAAGGUGUAGCUAAUAAGAUGGCAGAGAUGGGCUACAUUUUUUAAAAUAAAACACCACGGCAUGGGACUAUGAAACAACCCCUAAAGGCGGAUUUAACAGUAAAAAAGGCAAGAAAGCCUUCCUUAAACUCGCUCUGGAGCGCGCACACACCG